rnacentral:rRNA from 1 species
UCCAGCACCCAUAAUCCAUUUCAGUAGCCAUUCCACCUGCAGUUCAUCUGAAUCUAAGCAAUUUUGGGCCUGGCCAGUACUUGGGUGGGAGAACAACUAGGAAAGCUGGGUUGCUGCUGGAA